rnacentral:rRNA from 1 species
CAGUCGCCACGGGAAUACGAAGGGUGCAAGCGUUACUCGGAAUUACUGGGCGUAAAGCGUGCGUAGGUGGUGGUUUAAGUCCGUUGUGAAAGCCCUGGGCUCAACCUGGGAAUUGCAGUGGAUACUGGGUCACUAGAGUGUGGUAGAGGAUAGUGGAAUUUCCGGUGUAGCAGUGAAAUGCGUAGAUAUCGGAAGGAACAUCUGUGGCGAAGGCGACUAUCUGGGCCAACACUGACACUGAGGCACGAAAGCGUGGGGAGCAAACAGGAUUAGAUACCCGAGUAGUCCCUGUCUCUUAUAC